CUGCUCUAUCCUGAUGGGACUUUUCCUAUAGCUGUACAUCACUGGAAAUGCCUAACAGAGUAAAUCUGUGGUUUUGCUUUACUCGCAGGAUAAUUUUUAGAUCUGCGGGUAGGAACUACAAGACAGUU